rnacentral:rRNA from 1 species
UUUUGAACAGUUCUUCAAAACUGAAAACGACAAUCUUUCUAGUUCCAAAAAUAAAUACCAAAGGAUCAAUACAAUAAGUUACUAAGGGCUUAUGGUGGAUGCCUUGGCACUAAAAGGCGAUGAAGGACGUUGUUAACCUGCGAUAAGCUUCGGGGAGGUGGUAAAAACCUGAGAUCCGGAGGUGUCCGAAUGGAGCAAUCUGGUAGCUUGCAAAAGUUACCAUUAAUUAAUGAAUUC